UACGGAGGGGGCUAGCGUUGUUCGGAAUUACUGGGCGUAAAGCGCGCGUAGGCGGAUCUGCAAGUCGGGGGGUGAAAUCCCGAGGCUCAACCUCGGAACUGCCUUCGAUACUGCGGGUCUCGAGUCCGGGAGAGGUGAGUGGAAUUCCUAGUGUAGAGGUGAAAUUCGUAGAUAUUAGGAAGAACACCAGUGGCGAAGGCGGGCUCACUGGCCCGGUACUGACGCUGAGG
rnacentral:rRNA from 1 species